GGAAUGCAGCUCAGUGGUAGACCACUUGCCUAGCACGUUUGAGGCCCUGGUUCAAUCCCAAGCACCA
rnacentral:tRNA from 1 species